rnacentral:rRNA from 1 species
UACGAAGGGGGCUAGCGUUGUUCGGAAUUACUGGGCUUGAAGCGCGCGUAGGCGGCCCCGCAAGUGCGGUGUGAAAUCCCACGGCUUACCCGUGGAACCGCGCCGUGUACUACGGGGCUAGAGGAUGGUAGAGGAGGGCGGAACUCUUGGUGGAGCGGUGAAAUGCGUAGAGAUCAAGAGGAACACCGGUGGCGAAGGCGGCCCUCUGGUCCAUUACUGACGCUGAGGCGCGAAAGCUAGGGGAGCAAACGGG